UACGAAGGGGGCUAGCGUUGCUCGGAAUCACUGGGCGUAAAGGGUGCGUAGGCGGGUCUUAAGUCAGGGGUGAAAUCCUGGAGCUCAACUCCAGAACUGCCUUUGAUACUGAGGAUCUUGAGUUCGGGAGAGGUGAGUGGAACUGCGAGUGUAGAGGUGAAAUUCGUAGAUAUUCGCAAGAACACCAGUGGCGAAGGCGGCUCACCGUGCCCGAUACCUGACGCUGAGGCACGAAAGCGUGGGGAGCAAACAGG
rnacentral:rRNA from 1 species